rnacentral:lncRNA from 1 species
GCACACUCAAAUGUAUUACAUACACACACAAACACACACUCACCCACAAAAAGAAAAACACGACACACACCACACACAAAAAACUAAUAACCACACACACAUAUCGCUCACAUAAACACACUCAUACAUACCUAAACACACAUAUUACACACACACAAACACAUACACAAGCACACAUAACUUUAUAAACACAGACAAAUACACACACACAAACAGAUAUUACCCACACAAAC